ensembl:lncRNA
AUGUGGGGAGAACAGAUAAGGCCCCUGGAUGAAGGGUACCAUGAAAACCAUUUUCCGAAGAGGGAGUCUGAUGACUACGCUUUUCAACUGUCCAGAAUCAAGACAUCGAAUUCAGGGGUACAUGUGCUAGUGAUACGUUUAAAGUGGAUUCAUCCUGGAACUCCCAUCUCACUACUCAGAUGGGAACUUGAAAGUGACACAGAGAGAAAUGCAAGUGGCAACAGGAUCCAGAAACCAAGAGACUCAUGGGAUAGAGGCAGCGGGUGGAAGCAGGAGACAGCAGAAGCCAAGACAAGUAGGAAAAGAAGGACAUUGAAGGGAGCCAGAAGGGGUCAUCUGAGAGAUGUCAAGAGUGGCAGCAGAAACAGACAGGGGCCUCCUGUGCCAAUGCCUUCUCUUAAGAGAUCAAGAUCAUGGCAUCUGUAGACUGAGAACAAAGUGUGAGGCUUGGAACUAAGUCCAUUCAAACUCUGCAUUUCUUUGUUAUGUCCCUUUCGACAGUAAUUUCCAUUUAGUUCCUCACAUCUCUUUCAUCAUGAGUUUCCAUUAGAGUCUAAUUGCAUCAAACUCUCUAAAACACUUUAACCAACAGAUCUAAUAUUUGCCAGCUUUGUGAUCUUGGGUAAGUCACAUAUCCUCCAUGAACAUCAGUUGUCUUAUCUCUAUGCGUGAUCCGCAAAAUAAUAGCCCUAAACAUGUUCGUAUUCUAAUUCUCAGAAUUUGAGACCUUACAUGUUACCUUACAUGGCAAAAGGGAUUUUUGCAGAUCUGAUUAAGUUACGAACCUUGAGAUGGGGUCCUCUAUUACAUAUGUGGGCCCAGUCUAAUCAUAUGGGUUCUUAAAAUCAGGGAGAAUUUUUCCCAGCUGUGGUCAAGGGGAGUUGUGACGAGGGAAGAAUGGUCAGAGAGACGCAGCACUGCUGGCUUUGAAGAUAGAGGAAGGGGCCAUGAACCAAGGAAUGCGGAUGGCCUCUAGAAGCAGGAAAAGGCAAGGAAGCAGAUUCUUCCCAACCCAGAGAGGAGGAACACAGCCCUGCCAACAUCCUAGCUUUAGCCCAGUGAAACCUGUGUUUUACCCUAUAGAACUGUAAUAUAUCAGAUUUGUGUUGUUUUAAGCUGUUAAAUUUGCAGUAACUUGUUAUAGCAGCAAUAGAAAACUAAGACACUCUGAUGGCUAACACUGCGUAUUAUGAGAAAGUGUCUAAAAGAAUAUAUUCUCCAACGUAACACUGGUUUUGUCAUCUUUUCGAAGUAUUUAUUUUUUCUGGUUUCAACAAUGACCGUAUGUUAUUUGUGUAAUACAGAAACUAUGGGAAUAUUAAUGAGUAAGUAAUAGAUACUGAAUUAAGUUAGAUGACCUCUAAGGCCCCACCUAACUGUGGCAUUAUCUGAGCAAUCCAGCGGGAGGCUUAAUUGCCAAUCCAUAUCCUGUUUCUUCUCAGAUGCCAUAGACAGGUCUUAACUCCUCCACAAAGGGACCGGAAAGAGCAGUUUCACAUCACUCCUGGUGUCUUAUUUUCCACGUCUCAGAUACAAAUCUGUGUUCACCUGUAUAUAAUAUCAGUGUGUUUCUACAUUUUUAUGUGUCCUUUUAUUUACUUAUUUUUUUACAAAUUAUAAUCAGAUAUAAUUAUGGAUGCACAGUGAUGUUAUAUGUAUACAACAUGGAAUGAGGGAAUCAAGCUAAUUAACAUGUCAUCCCCUUAAGUACUUGUCAUUUACUCCUCCUGUCUAACUCUUAACUUUCUACCCCUUCACCGCCACCUCCCCAUUCCCUGACCCGCAGCUCUGGUAACCAUCAUUUUAUUCUCUGUUAGUUAAAUUAUUCUAGAUUUCACGUAUGAGUGAGAGCAUGCAGUAUUUGUCUUUCUGUGCCUGGCUUACUUCCCUUAGCAUAGUGUCUUCUUCCAUGGUCAUCCCCAUUAUUGCAAAUUAUAGGAUUUCUUUCUUUUUAAAGGCUAACUAGUAUUCCGUUGUGUGUAUAUACCACAUUUUCUUUAUCUAUUCAUGCGCUGAUGGACACAUAGGAAAUUUUCACAUUUUAGCUAUUAUAAACAGAGUGAAGAUAUCUCUUCAACAUAAUUUCAAGCCCUUAGGAUAUGUACCCCGAAGUGGGACUGCUGGAUCUAUAUGUACUUAUUAAAAGAUUUUAUUCAUUGGUAGGUAAUGAUACCAGAUACAUACAUAUUCAGUAAAUAAUAAAUACAACAAAUAUGUGUGGUAUAUAUGUCAUGUAGUCCUCAGGUCAUUCAGAUGAUUAAUGUUUUAUAAAGUCUUCAUGGGUCCUGGUAUGGUGCAUUAUAACAGAUCUCAGGAUCAUGUUGCUAGAGUUCACAACACAGUGAAACCCUGUCUCUGCUAAAAUACAAAGAAUUAGCUGAGUGUGGCAGCAUGUGCCUGUAGUCCCAGCUACUUGGGAGGCUGAGGCAAACGAAUUACUUGAACCCAGGAGGCAGAGGUUGCAGUGAGCUGAGAUCACCCCACUGCACUCCAGCCUGGGUGACAGAGUGAGACUCUGUGUCCAAAACAAGCCUUGUCUAUCGAUACAGUCACCCAGCAGCCUCACCUAAACUCUAAAAAACCUCAUUCACAAGCCACUCAAUGUCAACAGGUGAAGGCUAUUAACUGAUACUAGAGUUAUCAAUACUAAUGAUAAGCACAGCAAAUGGAACCAUGCAGCUCCUUAGAAGAUACUUAUGAACCACUUAAACUUAAGAACUAGGCUUUAGUGAGUUAAAAAUGCAGAGUAUGCCCUGCAAUACCAGUUCCCACUUGAGCAAGAAUUUGUUUGUUCUUAUCAUAGCCAACCAUCUUCUGGACUUUGAAUGGCCCCAAACCUAAUUUGGCGUUUGCACAGGACAAUAGGUACUUUGCAUGACAUGGCUGGGGAAUAACGCACAGCUGUUUCCCAUCUAGGCCACUUUGAUCUGUCACUGAGCCAAAUACCUGAGCCUGUCCCCAGCCAAACUACACCCCAGAGGAAUGAAGGAAAUAGAGCAGAAUUUUAGAAGUAGAGAUUUCAGUACUUUUUAAAUCAUGUUUUUAUUCAUCAGAUAUUUGUUGGAUGCUGUAGAUGUGUUCUCAGAUGCUCAUAUGCAUGAGAUUUGCCUAGGAGAGUCCCACUACCCAGAUAAACCUAACUUGGCAACUUAGUGUGGGGCCCGGGCAUCUAUGUUUAACCAGCCUCAUAGGUAAUUC